GCCAUGCGCUGGAUUUAAAGUGGUUCUAGUUUUUACUCAGCACAGUCAUCCAGAUAACAAACCUCCGCUCACUGCGUACAUGAGUGCGGAAGAUGAGAAACCUGGUUAUUCAUCUCCCUGUACACAU